UACGUAGGGAGCAAGCGUUGUUCGGAUUCAUUGGGCGUAAAGGGUGCGUAGGCGGUGGGGUAAGUUGGAUGUGAAAUCUUGGGGCUUAACCUCAAAAUUGCAUUCAAUACUGCUCCGCUCGAGUUCUGUAGAGGAGAUUGGAAUUUACGGUGUAGCAGUGAAAUGCGUAGAUAUCGUAAGGAACGCCAGUGGCGAAAGCGAAUCUCUGGGCAGCAACUGACGCUGAGGCACGAAGGCCAGGGGAGCAAACGGG
rnacentral:rRNA from 1 species